rfam:Corynebacterium matruchotii ATCC 14266 gcontig_1125149795839, whole genome shotgun sequence.
GUUGGUGGUUUUAGCGUCGAGGGUACGCCCGGUCCCGUUCCGAUCCCGGUAGCUAAGCUUGACUGCGCUGAUGGUACUGCAAUCGUGGGGUUGUGGGAGAGUAAGACACCGCCAACA